UGAUCCUGGGUAGCAACUGGCCAAGGGU
rnacentral:piRNA from 1 species